rnacentral:rRNA from 1 species
UACGUAGGGGGCAAGCGUUGUCCGGAUUUAUUGGGCGUAAAGAGCGUGUAGGCGGCUAGAUAGGUCCGUUGUGAAAACUCGAGGCUCAACCUCGAGACGUCGAUGGAAACCAUCUGGCUAGAGUCCGGAAGAGGAGAGUGGAAUUCCUGGUGUAGCGGUGAAAUGCGCAGAUAUCAGGAAGAACACCUGUGGUGUAGACGGCUUUCUGGACCAUAGCUGACGCUGAGACACGAAAGCGUGGGUAGCAAACAGG